rnacentral:rRNA from 1 species
AACGCGAAGAACCUUACCCACCUUUGACAUGUACGGAAGUCGCUAGAGAUAGCUUCGUGCUCGAAAGAGAACCGUAACACAGGUGCUGCAUGGCUGUCGUCAGCUCGUGUCGUGAGAUGUUGGGUUAAGUCCCGCAACGAGCGCAACCCUUGUCAUUAGUUGCUACAUUUAGUUGGGCACUCUAAUGAGACUGCCGGUGACAAACCGGAGGAAGGUGGGGAUGACGUCAAGUCCUCAUGGCCCUUAUAGGUGGGGCUACACACGUCAUACAAUGGCUGGUACAAAGGGUUGCCAACCCGCGAGGGGGAGCUAAUCCCACAAAGCCAGUCGUAGUCCGGAUCGUAGUCUGCAACUCGACUACGUGAAGUCGGAAUCGCUAGUAAUCGUGGAUCAGAAUGUCACGGUGAAUACGUUCCCGGGUCUUGUACACACCGAAU